rnacentral:rRNA from 1 species
AUUGAACGCUGGCGGCAUGCCUUACACAUGCAAGUCGAACGGCAGCACGGGUGCUUGCACCUGGUGGCGAGUGGCGAACGGGUGAGUAAUACAUCGGAACAUGUCCUGUAGUGGGGGAUAGCCCGGCGAAAGCCGGAUUAAUACCGCAUACGAUCUACGGAUGAAAGCGGGGGACCUUCGGGCCUCGCGCUAUAGGGUUGGCCGGUGGCUGAUUAGCUAGUUGGUGGGGUAAAGGCCUACCAAGGCGACGAUCAGUAGCUGGUCGGAGAGGGCGACCGGCCACAGAGGGACUGGGAGACGGGCCAGACGCAAGCGGGAGGCAGGGGCGGGAGAUAGUGCAAGAUGGGCGGAAGACGGAAGCAGCAACGCCGCGUGGGGGAUGACGGCCAUCGGGUAGGAAACCGCUUGCGCCUGUGACGAAGCGUGAGGGACGGAAAUGGGUAAAGAAGCACCGGCGAACUACGU